AAUGAACGUUGGCGGCGUGGAUUAGGCAUGCAAGUCGCGCGACAAGGAACCUUCGGGUUCUGGAGGAGCGGCAAACGGGGUAGUAAGGCAUCGGAACGUACCCUCUUGUUGGGAAUAGCCGCGGGAAACUGCGAGUAAUGCCCAAUAAUCCCUACGGGGCAAAGGUCCGCCGCAGGAGGAGCGGCCGAUGUGAUACCAGCUAGUUGGUGAGGUAAUGGCUCACCAAGGCUUAGACGUCUAGGGGGUGUGAGAGCAUGGCCCCCACCACUGGGACGUGAGAUACUGCCCACGANACCUACGGGUGGGCUGCAGUCGAG
rnacentral:rRNA from 1 species